GAUGAACGCUGGCGGCGUGCUUAACACAUGCAAGUCGAACGAAGCACUUUAUUACGAUUUCUUCGGAAUGACGAUUUAGUGACUGAGUGGCGGACGGGUGAGUAACGCGUGGGUAACCUGCCUUAUACAGGGGGAUAACAGUUAGAAAUGACUGCUAAUACCGCAUAAGCGCACAGGAUUGCAUGAUCUAGUGUGAAAAACUCCGGUGGUAUAAGAUGGACCCGCGUCUGAUUAGCUGGUUGGUGAGGUAACGGCCCACCAAGGCGACGAUCAGUAGCCGACCUGAGAGGGUGACCGGCCACAUUGGGACUGAGACACGGUCCAAAACUCCUACGGGAGGCAGCAGUGGGGAAUAUUGCACAAUGGAGGGAAACUCUGAUGCAGCGACGCCGCGUGAGCGAAGAAGUAUUUCGGUAUGUAAAAGCUCUAUCAGCAGGGAAGAAGAAAUGACGGUACCUGACUAAGAAGCCCGGCUAACUACGUGCCAG
rnacentral:rRNA from 1 species